GGAGAGGUCAUAGGUCAGUGAUAGAGCAUCUGCUUUGAAUGCAGAAGAUCCCAAGUUCAGUCCCUGGCUUCUCCU
rnacentral:tRNA from 1 species